rnacentral:tRNA from 1 species
UAGGGGGCAGUAUAAAUGGAUGUACGUAGGGUUUUGAUCUCUUAGGCGUGGGUUCAAUCCCCACCCCUCUAA